GACGAACGCUGGCGGCGUGCUUAACACAUGCAAGUCGAGCGGAGCGGCGAACGGGUGAGGAACGCGUGAGUAACUGCCCCCCUCUCUGGGAUAACAGUUGUAAACGGCUGCUAAUACCGGACAGUGGGGGUUGACUCGCGUUCUAUCAGAUUGUUGGUGGGGUAGUGGCCUACGAAGGCGACGACGGGUAGUCGGCCUGAGAGUGCGACGGGCCACAUUGGGCUGAGCUAGGGCCCAAACUCCUACGGGACGCAGCAGUGGGAAAUAUUGCACAAUGGGGCAAACCGUGAUGCAGAAGCGCCGCGUGCGGGAUGACGGCCUUCGGGUUGUAAACCGCUUUCAGCUAUGACGCGGUAAUGGCAGAAGAAGCACCGGCUAACUACGUGCCAGCAGCCGCGGUAAUUC
rnacentral:rRNA from 1 species